rnacentral:rRNA from 1 species
UACGUAGGUGGCUAGCGUUGUCCGGAUUUACUGGGCGUAAAGAGCGCGCAGGCGGUCGUUCAAGUCGAGUGUGAAAGCCCCCGGCUCAACUGGGGAGGGUCACUCGAUACUGAUCGACUCGAAGGCAGGAGAGGGAAGCGGAAUUCCCGGUGUAGUGGUGAAAUGCGUAGAUAUCGGGAGGAACACCAGUGGCGAAGGCGACUACCUGGCCUGUUCUUGACGCUGAGGCGCGAAAGCUAGGGGAGCAAACGGG